UGAAUUUCUGAAUUUACAUAAAUAUUAUGAAGUUUUAUUGUAGUUAUACAGUGAUGUGGUAGUGUAAUAAUGUGAUUAUGGAUUGAGGUGAUGUUAUGGAUUGUAGUUAUACAGUGAUGUGGUAGUGUAAUGAUGUGAUUAUGGAUUGAGGUGAUGGUUAUAGAUUGUAGUUAUACAGUGAUGUGGUAGUGUAAUUAUGUGAUUAUGGAUUGAGGUGAUGUUAUGGAUUGUAGUUAUACAGUGAUGUGGUAGUGUAAUGAUGUGAUUAUGGAUUGAGGUGAUGUUAUGGAUUGUAGUUAUACAGUGAUGUGGUAGUGUAAUGAUGUGAUUAUGGAUUGAGGUGAUGGUUAUAGAUUGUAGUUAUACAGUGAUGUGGUAGUGUAAUUAUGUGAUUAUGGAUUGAGGUGACGUUAUGGAUUGUAGUUAUACAGUGAUGUGGUAGUGUAAUGAUGUGAUUAUGGAUUGAGGUGAUGUUAUGGAUUGUAGUUAUACAGUGAUGUGGUAGUGUAAUGAUGUGAUUAUGGAUUGAGGUGAUGGUUAUAGAUUGUAGUUAUACAGUGAUGUGGUAGUGUAAUGAUGUGAUUAUGGAUUGAGGUGAUGUUAUGGAUUGUAGUUAUACAGUGAUGUGGUAGUGUAAUGAUGUGAUUAUGGAUUGAGGUGAUGUUAUGGAUUGUAGUUAUACAGUGAUGUGGUAGUGUAAUGAUGUGAUUAUGGAUUGAGGUGAUGGUUAUAGAUUGUAGUUAUACAGUGAUGUGGUAGUGUAAUGAUGUGAUUAUGGAUUGAGGUGGUGUUAUGGAUUGUAGUUAUACAGUGAUGUGGUAGUGUAAUGAUGUGAUAAUGGUUGAGGUGACGUUAGGGGUUGUAGUUAUACAGUGAUGUGGUAGUGUAAUGAUGUGAUAAUGGUUAAGGUGACGUUAGGGAUUGUACUUAUACAGUGAUGUGGUAGUGUAAUGAUGUGAUAAUGGUUAAGGUGACGUUAGGGAUUGUACUUAUACAGUGAUGUGGUAGUGUAAUGAUGUGAUUAUGGAUUGAGGUGGUGUUAUGGAUUGUAGUUAUACAGUGAUGUGGUAGUGUAAUGAUGUGAUAAUGGUUGAGGUGACGUUAGGGAUUGUACUUAUACAGUGAUGUGGUAGUGUAAUGAUGUGAUAAUGGUUAAGGUGACGUUAGGGAUUGUACUUAUACAGUGAUGUGGUAGUGUAAUAAUGUGAUAAUGGUUGAGGUGAUGUUAUGGAUUGUAGUUAUACAGUGAAA